rnacentral:lncRNA from 1 species
CUGAGAAGAAUUAAGCAAUUUGUCCAGGGUCAUAGAUCUAAUAAAUCGAACAGACAAGAGUUAAAUCAGGUUGAUUUAACAUCCAUUACAUAAUGCUGCCUCUGAAAUUCUGUUUGCCCUGGACAAAUAUUAUGCUUUUAUUUCAAAAGCUAAGGAAAAAAGAGGGAGGUGGAAAGCCGUUAAAUGGGAAAGAAGCAAAUGGAAAAUGUUGUGACUUUUAUACAUGCACAAAAUUUACUGAGCAACAAUUUCACUCUGUGAGAUCCUUGCAGGGUUGCUGAGCAGCUGCUGCCUUCAAGAAGCUAACAUUUUCAUUGAAAAAACACCUAAGAAUUGUCUAGUUUGGGGAUUUGUGAAGAAAACGCUGCCUUCAUAUAGAAAUUGGCAUUGUGUCUCAGUCAAGUUGACAUCACUUACAGGCUGAGGACAACGGCUCCUCCCAUCUAAGAUCACCAUGAGAGCUAAUCACAGGUCAUGAGUGGCAGACAUCAUGUGAGCAGACAACCAUGACAGAGAGUGGUCUGGAACCUGUACCUGUGGUUGACCAACUGUAUGGCCUUAGACAAAAUAAAGCCCUUCAUUACUCUAAAUUUCAGCUUCCUCAUUUAUAAUACAGAGGCAAUAUCUACCUUUCACUGUUGCUGUGAUCAUUAAAGAUAAUUAGAUAGAAAACAUAAGUACAGAAAGUAGGCAUUUGAGUCAUUAGCUCUGUAGCAUUUGUACCCUUCAUUUAGUCACAUAGUCAUGUGACUAUUAAACCUCUGUUGGGCAGCAAGCAUAACUGGGCUAGAGAUUCCAUUUCCCCAUAAAGAGGAGAGAAGCAAAACCAAAUAAAGUGUCACUAAGGUGGAGCCCAUAGCCAUCUCACUAGCUUACAAUCCUUUUUUUUUUUUUUUUUUUUCCGGUAUAUUCAAGUCUGUGGCAUCUGUUGCCCCUGAAAAUAUUUCCAGUGUUCUUUGUUGGAGAGCAACUGAGUCUCUGAGGACAUCUCACCAAAGAGUGCUUGGUUUAGUGUCAGAAGCAGCUCCAUGCAGUUGUUAGACACUGUGAUAGUUGACUGUGAUCUUCCACUUGCCUAGAUUAAGGAAUGCCUAGCAGAUCAGUAAAGCACACUUCUGGCAUGUCUUCGAGGACAUGUCCAGAGAUGAUUGGCAUGUAGGCUGGCAAACUGAGGGAAAAAAAGACCCACCCUGAUUGUGGGUGGUUUCCUCCAAUAGUCUUACAGCCCAGAUGAAAUGGAAAGGAGGAAAAGGGGAAGUGGGGCUGCAUUGGAAAAGGUCCAUUUUGCUACAGCAGGUUCAUCUUUUGCUACUGCCAUUUCCCAUGGACAUCAGACUCCAGCUGUUUCAGCCUUUCAAUGCAGACUCACACCAGUGACUCUCCAGGGAGCUUCCAGGCCUUUGGUCUCAGACUGGCACUGCACCCUUAAUCUCUCUUGUUCUGUAGCUUUCAGCUUCUUUUGGAUUGGGCAGCAACUGGAUCCUCUGGCUCUCAGUGUGCAGACAGCCACUGUGCAUUCUCCUGCCUCUGAUUCUAUAAGUCUAACAAAUACCCUUCCAUAAUUAUACAUACAAAAAAAUAUUUCUUUUGAUUCUGAUCCUCUAGAGAUCCCUAACUAAUACAGACAUACACUAUGGAGCAGAAAUUCAAAAACAUGCUGCUUGAACUCAACUUUCAGCUGUGCCACUUCCUAGAUGAAUCAGUUCUUGAAUA